UCUCAUGUCUACGUACCAACAAAGUGCAUGGAGGAUCAAAACCUUGUAGUUCAUGGUAAAAAUAACAAAGAUGUUUGUCUUGAUUAAUUUUUAAUAAAAAUACAUUUUGUCAUUUUAAGGAGAACAUUCAACUAUCCAUCCACAAGUAUGAGAACAUUGCAUCACCAUGGAGAAGGGCUCCAACUUGGAUAAAGAUCAACAAGUAUGCCACAAAC
rnacentral:lncRNA from 1 species